ACGAGAUGACAAGAGUUGUCUAGAACACAUAAUUACCCACGAGUUAAGAAACUUCCUACAGAGUAGAGAGAAUAUGAAUCAGGAACAACUACAUUAUUCAUCGGCCACAAAACUUUUAGGACAGAAGUGAAGAGAAACAAAAAUUAGACAAUGAAAACACAUGAUAAUGUCUUUCAACAGCAUAGCCAUUAUUCCAGCUUGAAGUGGAAAAUGCUACGAUCAAGAUAAGAGACAGCAGGCAAAAAAUAGGGCAGUAAUGAAAUGAAACACACUUGAAACAAUUCAAACCCCAUUUUAUUUUACCAGAAACAUCUUCUCCAGCCUGAGCCCCAGCAACACCAAUGCAAGAAUACAAAGAGUUCUCAUCUAUCUUCAACUGCUCAUAGGCAACAUAUGCGUCUUCAAUGGUGGCAGUUUCAUACAACAAAGUGAGAUCUUUGAUGCAAGAUAUGUCAUGAUAACAAACAAAACAAAGAUAGAAGUUAAAGCUCAAAGAAUAAUGUAGCUAAAUAAUAAAACUGCAAAACUUAUGGGCUGCUUCUAUGUGAUGUCUCUUUGGUCAUGGAUAAAAUAGUGAGAACAAUACACCAAGAACAAAGCAAUACCUUCCUAGGUACAGAGGGGCUUGUAAAUGAGACAACAAUCCAAGCCAAUAGGCAUUUGACUUGAUCUCGGCUUCAUGUCGCAUAAGCAGUGUUCGUCUUGCCUAAACAGAAAAGAAUUGUGUAAACCAUAUGAAUUUUUAAUUUAGACAAUAUGAUGUCUAACUAACAUUUAAAUUAUUUCUGUAGCCUGGAAGAAAGGAGACAAAUUAGACCAGACUCAAAAACAUUAGUUCAUAUCAAUUUUACCAACUAGUCAAUCACAUGCCAGAAUCUCUCCAGGAUAAAACCUAGGAAAUGACUCAUAUAGUGAUUGAGGCGUGAAGCAGAAUGAUCUUUU
rnacentral:lncRNA from 1 species